UACGGAGGGGGCUAGCGUUGUUCGGAAUUACUGGGCGUAAAGGGCGCGUAGGCGGCCUUUCUAAGUCGAACGUGAAAUCCCCGGGCUCAACCCGGGAACUGCGUCCGAUACUGGAAGGCUUGAAUCCGGGAGAGGGAUGCGGAAUUCCAGGUGUAGCGGUGAAAUGCGUAGAUAUCUGGAGGAACACCGGUGGCGAAGGCGGCAUCCUGGACCGGCAUUGACGCUGAGGCGCGAAAGCCAGGGGAGCAAAGCGGG
rnacentral:rRNA from 1 species